UACGGAGGGUGCAAGCGUUGUCCGGAUUUAUUGGGUUUAAAGGGUGCGUAGGCGGUUUAUUAAGUCAGUGGUGAAAGUCUGUGGCUCAACCAUAGAAUUGCCACUGAUACUGAUAGACUUGAAUUAAGUUGAGGUAGGCGGAAUUCGUGGUGUAGCGGUGAAAUGCAUAGAUACCACGAAGAACACCGAUAGCGUAGGCAGCUUACUAAGCUUAUAUUGACGCUGAGGCACGAAAGCGUGGGUAGCGAACAGG
rnacentral:misc_RNA from 1 species